CAAUAGCGUAUAUUUAAGUUGCUGCAGUUAAAAAGCUCGUAGUUGGAUUUCGGGUGGGAAUGGCCGGUCCGCCGUUUCGGUGUGCACUUGCUACGCCCACCUUGCUGCCGGGGACGUGCUCUUGAGUUCACGCUCGGGACACGGAGUCGGCGAGGUUACUUUGAGUAAAUUAGAGUGUUCAAAGCAGGCCUACGCUCUGAAUACAUUAGCAUGGAAUAACACGAUAGGACUCUGGCCUAUCUUGUUGGUCUGUAGGACCGGAGUAAUGAUUAAGAGGGACAGUCGGGGGCAUUCGUAUUUCAUUGUCAGAGGUGAAAUUCUUGGAUUUGCGAAAGACGAACUACUGCGAAAGCAUUUGCCAAGGAUGUUUUCAUUAA
rnacentral:rRNA from 1 species